rnacentral:rRNA from 1 species
GUAGGUGGCAAGCGUUGUCCGGAAUUAUUGGGCGUAAAGCGCGCGCAGGCGGUUCUUUAAGUCUGAUGUGAAAGCCCACGGCUCAACCGUGGAGGGUCAUUGGAAACUGGAGAACUUGAGUACAGAAGAGGAAAGCGGAAUUCCACGUGUAGCGGUGAAAUGCGUAGAGAUGUGGAGGAACACCAGUGGCGAAGGCGGCUUUCUGGUCUGUAACUGACGCUGAGGCGCGAAAGCGUGGGGAGCAAACAGGAUUAGAUACCCUGCUAGUCCACGCCGUAAACGAUGAGUGCUAAGUGUUAGGGGGUUUCCGCCCCUUAGUGCUGCAGCUAACGCAUUAAGCACUCCGCCUGGGAGUACGGCCGCAAGGCUG